rnacentral:rRNA from 1 species
UACAGGGGGGGCAAGCGUUGUUCGGAAUUACUGGGCGUAAAGGGCUCGUAGGUGGCCAACUAAGUCAGACGUGAAAUCCCUCAGCUUAACUGGGGAACUGCGUCUGAUACUGGAUGGCUUGAGUUUGGGAGAGGGAUGCGGAAUUCCAGGUGUAGCGGUGAAAUGCGUAGAUAUCUGGAGGAACACCGGUGGCGAAGGCGGCAUCCUGGACCAAUACUGACGCUGAGGAGCGAAAGCCAGGGGAGCAAACGGG